rnacentral:rRNA from 1 species
GACGAACGCUGGCGGCGUGCCUAAUACAUGCAAGUAGAACGCACAGUUUAUACCGUAGCUUGCUACACCAUAAACUGUGAGUUGCGAACGGGUGAGUAACGCGUAGGUAACCUGCCUGGUAGCGGGGGAUAACUAUUGGAAACGAUAGCUAAUACCGCAUAAUAUUGAUUAUUGCAUGAUAAUUGUUUGAAAGAUGCUAUUGCAUCACUACCAGAUGGACCUGCGUUGUAUUAGCUAGUAGGUGAGGUAACGGCUCACCUAGGCGACGAUACAUAGCCGACCUGAGAGGGGGAUCGGCCACACUGGGACUGAGACACGGCCCAGACGCCUACGGGAGGCAGCAGUAGGGGAUCUUCGGGAAUGGAAGAAAGUCUGACCGAGCAACGCCGCGUGAGUGCAGAAGGUUGUCGGAUCGUAAAGCUCAGUUAUAAGAGAAGAACGGGUGUGAGAGUGGAAAGUUCACACUGUGACGGUAUCUGACCAGAAAGGGACGGCUAACUACGUG